AGCGAACGCUGGCGGCAGGCUUAACACAUGCAAGUCGAACGCCCCGCAAGGGGAGUGGCAGACGGGUGAGUAACACGUGGGAACGUACCCUUUGGUUCGGAAUAACUUGGGGAAACUCAAGCUAAUACCGGAUAAGCCCUUAUGGGGAAAGGUUUACUGCCGAAGGAUCGGCCCGCGUCUGAUUAGCUAGUAGGUGAGGUAAUGGCUCACCAAGGCGACGAUCAGUAGCUGGUCUGCGAGGAUGAUCAGCCACACUGGGACUGAGACACGGCCCAGACUCCUACGGGAGGCAGCAGUGGGGAAUAUUGGACAAUGGGGGCAACCCUGAUCCAGCCAUGCCGCGUGAGUGAUGAAGGCCUUAGGGUUGUAAAGCUCUUUUACCCGGGACGAUAAUGACUGUACCGGGAGAAUAAGCCCCGGCUAACUUCGUGCCAGCCGCCGCAGUAA
rnacentral:rRNA from 1 species